rnacentral:misc_RNA from 1 species
CUGAGUUACCGCUCUAUAACCCUUUGUGAACAUACCUUAACUGUUGCUUCGGCGGGUAGGAGUCCCCUAAAAAGGACGCCUCCCGGCCCUCCCGUCCGCGGGUGGGGCGCCCGCCGGAGGAUAACCAAACUCUGAUUUAACGACGUUUCUUCUGAGUGACACAAGUAAUAAUCA